rnacentral:lncRNA from 1 species
CUAAGUCACUAAUUUGCUCAGAUUGGGUUUAAACCUGUGAUCCUCAGUGUGCUGAGAUUACAGACGUGCUCCACUGUGCCCAGUUAAGGGUACAGUUUUGUUUUUUGUUUGAUACCGGGGAUCGAACUCUGGACCUUGCACUUGUGAGAGGAAGAACACACAUGUGAGUUUACUCCACAGACAGAGAGCAGCCUCACAGCACAUGGAAAGACCUGGCCGUCUACAGCGUCACUGAAAUCACUGAGAGCGAGUCAGGUCCACUGUGGGCCCUUAAGAGAGCUCCAGACUGCGGAUGGGUUUCAGACGCUUUUCUCAAAUUAUUUCCUCAUUGCUCGAAGGCUCAGGAUCUGUCCUCAUCCCAGGGGGCCUGAGACUCUUCCGUUCCCUACUCUCAGCUCUCUAAACAGCUUCCUGACCUGCGCUGGCCCAGGCCCCGUGGGGUCCCCAGCCUUCCUGGCUUCCGCCUGUCCCUCUCUGUGACCCCAAUUGGCAGAUUCAGCCUGACAAGGGGGCUUCGGGAGUUGCCUGGAGCUCUGCGAGGUGAGAGAGGAGCAGAUUGUAAUUAUAUUGUCAUCGUUGUUCCCAUUUUUCUUUUAAACUCUGGUCCUGUUGAAUCCUGAAAUAAGAACUGCACCUUAAUCCCCAGUGUGUGGCUUCCAGGUCCUCACCUGUUUUAUUUUCAUUUUGAAGGACUUUAUUAUUUAUCCACAUAUGUAGGCAGAGAUGUCCCAUACCUCCUGUUCCCUGGUCAACAUCCCCAGUGGAGCAGCACGUGGUGCAGGGGGUGGACUGACACUGGCCUGUCACUGUCACCCAGAGCGGCCAGACAGUGUAUAAUGGUGGCACGACAUCGCAGUCCUGACAACAUCUUGAAGAAUAAACCUUCUGCCCUCCACGCCCUCUGUGCUUCCCAUCAUCUUCCCCUGGACCCUGGCAACCAUUCCUGUCACUGCCGCUGUAUUUGGCCUCUUCCGUGAAGUCUCAGAGUCUACUUCAUCCUGGGCAUUCAAGGUCCCUCCAUCUUUCUCCGUGUCUUGAAAGCGCGUUCCUUUUUGGCGCUGGCUAACAUCCCAUGGUCUGGAUGCGCCAUAGCUUGUCCGCUCCCCCGCUCAAGGGCAAUUUCCAAGUUCCAAGGUCAGUCUCA